ACCGUCGAUCCUCCACCUUGCUGAUGUCCAUUUUGCUUAAAUCGGUAGAACUGCACGUACAGCGAAGUCCCAGUAUUCAAAGCCACAAUGAAAACCCGACUUAAAAAAUUGAUGUCUCAAGCCCUCGGCCGCAGACGCUCCCCUUCCCCUGACAAUGAAUGGACCACAGCAGAUCUUCUUAAACGUGCCAUUUCAAUGCAGAGUGCUUAGCUGGGCGUUUGAAGGCCAGUCCUGCUUAUUUCAUAGAAAGGGCCUCUCCUAAUGACUUAGCGCACCUAAACUUCAAAUACCUAGAUAUGAUUUCUGUCCCUUCAUCUCAAACCCAUCUUUUCAUCCUCGCCAGCACAUUUGAGGCGGGAGGGGCGCGUAUUUCAUGGCCAGUUCGGACGGGAAGUAAAGCUCAGCAGCUGCGCAAGGUUUUCCUGUGCGCAUCUGACCAGGUUAAACUUAGUGCCACCUGUUUUUCCGCAGAUCGGCACUUUAUUCCGCAGAUAUAUCACUCAUUUAUCGGUGCAGAUGGGGCCCCGGGGGCGGGCACUGCUGAACAGGCUAAAGGAGUCAGGUGCGGCGGUGUCCCGUUUCAAGUCGCUUCAUGACAGUUUAUUACCGGUAUCGACGUCCCACUCAACCUUCCGCUCCGAUUUGCUUCACCCCAAUCACAGCCUCUCUCUCCUCACAAUAUGAGACAAAUGUGGCCGGAAUGGAGACGCACGCGGCGGGUCUUAAUUAUCCGUCGAUCCGCAGAGAUGAGGCGGGAUGCAAUUUGCGGUUAAUUGGGAAUGAAACCCCUCACGAGCGACGCCAGGGCUGUCCAAUCACACUUAACCCUUCUGCAGCCACGCUGCGGCCUCUUCUGCCCCGCGGAAAUGCCGAUUGAUUUUUUUUUUUUUUAGGCAAAGGAGCGCUCGGCCUUCAAUCGAUCAGUGAUUGAUUGAUUAGGUGGUUUGUGGUGUCUGAAACAUCCUCAGGCUUCCUGAAGCCUAAACGAGUAAAGAGGACACCGUAAGCUCUUUUUAAUAAAGCCAAUACCAGAGAAGCGUUUGAUUAGGUGCCAUUGUGAAUCUUGCUCUCAGUUCAUUUGCGCCGCGGUGCAGUGACCAGCCAGACCGCAGGACACCGUCAUCAGUUUGGGCUUUAAUAAUGUUAUGGUCUGAGCUUUGCCCACUUUUUAACUUUUGAAAUCUUUAACGCACUAUUGUAAAAAUCAAUGUAAAGAUCUUUGGCUGUUCAACCUGACGGCAUGAGAAUGAUUUUCUUUUCUGUCACCUCUGAACGCACGCGCACCGACUCAUUACGUAAGUGACACCCGCUCCUGAGCAGGUGGAACGCGCCUCUCGGCUCCCACUAAACAUUUGUGCGUGAGCGCCGCCGGAGCUGGCCUCUCUCCGGCUGCGUCGUGCAGUAGCACCUGCUCGGUCACUAGAGGGGGGAUCUGCUGCACCUGUUCUCCGUGCGUCCCGGCUCCGCUCGCUUCGUGCCCGCUCGGCUCUUCCCGGCGGUCCGCUGCCGCUGAGUGUAGAGGAGCUGCUAUAGGAUAAUGCAAAUCCUCCGCUGCGGUCCCCUCCCAUUGGCCCGUCACACCUCUGAGUGGGAGGGUCGCGGUCCACGCCGCCUUUAUAAGUGCAGAUUGCCUUCCAGCGCCUCAGUGACACUGCGUGGUUGCCCAAGAAGCUCUUAAAGCAAUUUGAGGGCCUUUAGAGGAAAAAAACAAUUGGAAUUUAUCACCUCUUGCAUAAUAAUCCUCUCACACACAGUCCCACACAUAAGACCGACAGAGUGCGCCGGUGAAGGGGGACUGCACCGUGAGUAGACGCCGCUUGAGUGAAAUAUCUGGACUGAGCACAACUCCAGCGGGCCACACUUCCCUGUCCUCGCGUUGGGAGAACCAUCUGCAACUUAAGCUUCAUCUCGAGUUCAAACGAACUUUAAGAACUUGUGCACGUGUCCUUCCGUUUGGAGUCCCCGGGACGCUCGUGGCCCUUCUUGACGCGCGCCUGCGCAGCCCGCUGUGACGGACGCACGCUGCUGCGAGCGCGCUAGAAACUUUAAAUCACGGCCAUGCUGCAGUGACCUCAGCGUCGAGCUGCAAACGAAAGGAUGCCCGCAAAACAUCUGUAGGAGUCCGGACGGAGGACUCCGCAGAGCCGAACGGAGGACGGUCAACCACGCGGAGGCGAGCGGGCUGCAGAGGUAAAGCGAGGACAGGACGGGCUGCUGUCUCCAAAUUCGCCAGGCUCGAGUUUCAGCCGCUUCGGGGGCUCCUGCAUUUGACCUGGGAUAAGUUGUCAACAAGCGCUUCGAGCGGAGGCGCACUGGCAGCAUGCACAUCGUCUAUGGUAUCCUCCUACUGAACAUGUGUAACGUCAAAGGCGAACCUAUACUGCACUAAGAAGAGAUCAGACUGGACGAGCGCUGCGUUUUCUAACCACAGGACCUUUGAUCUGGUACUUUCUUAAAUCCUGGGUGUAGAUUUGACGAGGUGAGCUUUAGUCAUUUAGUGUAUCAGACGGAUAAGGAUUGCAUUCGCUGCUAAAACUCUAUGCACCAACACGAUCGUUAAUAAGAGUUAAUUUUUUUUACUUUAAAUAUUUGCAGACACAUUUCCGCAGAGCCUGCGCGUCCACUCUGCAGCUCUGCGUCUUAAUGAGAGCUUGUCUGUUAGGAGGAUGCUUGAUUGACUGAAUGACUUUUUGCCUGGUGGGAGCGAAGGAGGAACUUGAUGCAUUAUUCUGUCAACAAGAAAUCUCUGGCUCGUGUGCUUCCUGCUGCCUAGAUAUAUGUGCAAUAUUGUGCAGAAGUGUCCGAUGUUGAGCCUACCUGUUGGACGGCGACGGCGCGCAGGAAGAGAGGUUGAACACGUUAAAAGUCCGAUCGGAAGCAACGGAGGAGCAACUAAAACCUUUCAAUAAACGGCUGUUGCUUAUUUCUGGCUGCCCGAAUCUCAGAUCGAUUCGUUUGAGCGCCCCCCAAAAAACGAUAUAAAUUGAAAUUACAAUCCUCGCAGCACGUGCAAAUAUUUUUUUCUCUUAUAUUUAGACCAACAACAAUUUACCUCUUUGCUUUGUUAUAAGUUGAUUGUUGUGGUUUGAUACACUCCUUCAAAUGUGAAUCAUCAUUUAUCAGCCUGAAAAUAAUUAGAUUUUAAAGACCGCAAUAAUAAAGGGAGAUGGAAACGGAAGCCAACUUCUGCACAGUGCUGUUAAUGUAUAUCUGUACAUAUAAUUUCUAUAUUUAUUCAAUGAACGUGUCCUAACGUGUCAACAAGUGAAAAACCUACAAAGUGGAACGUUGUUGAGAAUCUUGUUUUCAUAAUGUUUAAUAAAAAGUUCUGUCCCAAA